rnacentral:rRNA from 1 species
AGUGAACGCUGGCGGUAGGCCUAACACAUGCAAGUCGAACGGCAGCACAGUAAGAGCUUGCUCUUACGGGUGGCGAGUGGCGGACGGGUGAGGAAUACAUCGGAAUCUACUUUUUCGUGGGGGAUAACGUAGGGAAACUUACGCUAAUACCGCAUACGACCUACGGGUGAAAGCAGGGGAUCUUCGGACCUUGCGCGAUUGAAUGAGCCGAUGUCGGAUUAGCUAGUUGGCGGGGUAAAGGCCCACCAAGGCGACGAUCCGUAGCUGGUCUGAGAGGAUGAUCAGCCACACUGGAACUGAGACACGGUCCAGACUCCUACGGGAGGCAGCAGUGGGGAAUAUUGGACGAUGGGCGCAAGCCUGAUCCAGCCAUACCGCGUGGGUGAAGAAGGCCGUCGGGUUGUAAAGCCCUUUUGUUGGGAAAGAAAAGCAGCAGGUUAAUACCCCGCUGUUCUGACGGUACCCAAAGAAUAAGCACCGGCUAACUUCG